AGGAUCCAAUGUUUGAGAUGUCAGAGCCAAAUAUCACCUAGUUUUUUUUAAGAAGCACUCCUAGAAGUAAAAGAGAAGUGAAGUAAAAAUGUUUUCAAACUUCAAUGGAAAGCCAAAUGCAAAACCUUGUCCAGCUGAGGUGAGUUUAACUGAGGAUCAUCCAUCUGAACCUUCCGCUGAGAUUCUGAAAUUGUGCACUUCUGUACAUGGGGAAUAAGAGAUCAGUCUCUGUCUGUAUAUGCUGUUGGCUGUGCCUAGGGAGAGUCACUUACACAGAGCUGAAUGGAAUACUGGGCUAGAUGGACCUUAAUUCUGAACCAAUAUAGCUGCUUGGAUUUUGUGCUGUGUUCAGAGGCCGCAGUAGAAGUAGAUCUAUUGCUGCUUUGUGACCUAGGGGGAAAAGAAAACUCCUCCCUGCAGUAAGCCUGUCUACUUAACGAGUAAAGGAAUUCAGAUCAAUAAAAGAAAAUAGCAGCAGAUCUAGAGGAAUUCCCUAGGGCCAGAUGCAUCAUCGCUCAGUCCUUGUACAAUAAUUUGCUUCUGUGCUGUUCAAGAAGAGCUUUUCCGCUGGUGCUGGACACUGGACCAAGUUCUUAAGUGGCUUUUUUUCAAAGGCUAAUUUUAGCUUGGAAGAUUGGAAUUCCUCCAUCCCUUCCAUAAUCACUGGUGGAAAAUAGGCUGCUCUCAGCCAUGAAUCAGAGCAGAAGCUUCUUAGGCUGAAGUUUGCUAUUCCUCUCCGCUGCUCAAUGCACAAGCUCUGGACUUACCCUCUGUACAGGACUGAAUUCUGUUCUGAGACAAUGAAGUGAUCCCUCCUGGUACACGCCGGUGAAUUUCACCUUCCCAUUUUAUUUGAUGGGAGAUUUAUAAAGACAGAGCUCCUCUAGUCAUCAUUCUUGGCAUUUAUUUCAACAUUAGAUAGAAUUUGUGA